AACGAACGCUGGCGGCAUGCCUAACACAUGCAAGUCGAACGAGACCUUCGGGUCUAGUGGCGCACGGGUGCGUAACGCGUGGGAACCUGCCCUUAGGUUCGGAAUAACUCCCCGAAAGGGGUGCUAAUACCGGAUAAUGUCUUCGGACCAAAGAUUUAUCGCCUUUGGAUGGGCCCGCGUUGGAUUAGCUAUUUGGUAGGGUAAAAGCCUACCACGGCGACGAUCCAUAGCUGGUCUGAGAGGAUGAUCAGCCACACUGGGACUGAGACACGGCCCAGACGCCUACGGGAGGCAGCAGUGGGGAAUAUUGGACAAUGGGCGAAAGCCUGAUCCAGCAAUGCCGCGUGAGUGAUGAAGGCCUUAGGGUUGUAAAGCUCUUUUACCCGGGAUGAUAAUGACAGUACCGGGAGAAUAAGCUCCGGCUAACUCCGUG
rnacentral:rRNA from 1 species